AGUGAACGCUGGCGGUAGGCCUAACACAUGCAAGUCGAACGGCAGCACAGUAAGAGCUUGCUCUUACGGGUGGCGAGUGGCGGACGGGUGAGGAAUACAUCGGAAUCUACCUUUUCGUGGGGGAUAACGUAGGGAAACUUACGCUAAUACCGCAUACGACCUACGGGUGAAAGCAGGGGAUCUUCGGACCUUGCGCGAUUGAAUGAGCCGAUGUCGGAUUAGCUAGUUGGCGGGGUAAAGGCCCACCAAGGCGACGAUCCGUAGCUGGUCUGAGAGGAUGAUCAGCCACACUGGAACUGAGACACGGUCCAGACUCCUACGGGAGGCAGCAGUGGGGAAUAUUGGACAAUGGGCGCAAGCCUGAUCCAGCCAUGCCGCGUGGGUGAAGAAGGCCUUCGGGUUGUAAAGCCCUUUUGUUGGGAAAGAAAAGCAGCAGGUUAAUACCCCGCUGUUCUGACGGUACCCAAAGAAUAAGCACCGGCUAACUUCGUG
rnacentral:rRNA from 1 species